rnacentral:rRNA from 1 species
CCCUACGGGGGGCAGCAGUAGGGAAUCUUCCACAAUGGGCGAAAGCCUGAUGGAGCAACGCCGCGUGGGUGAAGAAGGUCUUCGGAUCGUAAAACCCUGUUGUUAGAGAAGAAAGUGCGUGAGAGUAACUGUUCACGUUUCGACGGUAUCUAACCAGAAAGCCACGGCUAACUACGUGCCAGCAGCCGCGGUAAUACGUAGGUGGCAAGCGUUAUCCGGAUUUAUUGGGCGUAAAGGGAACGCAGGCGGACUUUUAAGUCUGAUGUGAAAGCCUUCUGCUUUACCGGAGUAGUGCAUUGGAAACU